UACGGAAGGCAGCAGUGGGGAAUAUUGCACAAUGGGCGCAAGCCUGAUGCAGCCAUGCCGCGUGUAUGAAAAAGGCCUUCGGGUUGUAAAGUACUUUCAGUCGUGAGGAAGGUGUUAAGGUUAAUAACCUUAGCAAUUGACGUUAGCGACAGAAGAAGCACCGGCUAACUCCGUGCCAGCAGCCGCGGUAAUACGGAGGGUGCGAGCGUUAAUCGGAAUUACUGGGCGUAAAGGGCACGCAGGCGGUUAAUUAAGUUGGAUGUGAAAUCCCCGGGCUUAACCUGGGAAUGGCAUUCAAGACUGGUUAGCUAGAGUCUUGUAGAGGGGGUUAGAAUUCCAUGUGUAGCGGUGAAAUGCGUAGAGAUGUGGAGGAAUACCGGUGGCGAAGGCGGCCCCGUGGACAAAGACUGACGCUCAUGUGCGAAAGCGUGGGGAGCAAACAGGGAUUAGAUACC
rnacentral:rRNA from 1 species